rnacentral:lncRNA from 1 species
UUCACAAUCAACUUUUUAAACUGGUUACUGAAAGGAGGAGGAUGUUUUCCCCUACGGACUUAUGUGUAAUUUUAUUUUUCUUUAAAAGGAGUCAAUGAGUCACAUACGAGUUUUUUUUCUUUUUGAAACUAUGAGUCACAUACGAGUUGGUCACUUGGUUGGAUGGAUAUAUGGCAUGGCCUUCUCGCAAAAAAGUACUGUGCGUAUAUUUUUAAGUUUGAAACUACUUCAAGAAAUACAAUUUUAAAUAUAAGAUAAGAGGAGGGUGGAAAUCCAUUCAAAAGAGGUAUAAGUACGUAUUUACAAACUGAUUACUACAUAAAAACACUCUCCCCGCAAAAAGAAAGGGCUCUGUCUAUUAGCCAGGCACCUGCUUUUUGAUAACAGUCGCCUGGUUUUGUGUAUGAAAACAGUCGCCUGGUAAUACAUAAAAAAAACAGUCACAUUUCUAUGAGCCGCCCAACAAAUAUCUAACGAAGGAAAAAUUUGAAUAUAUGAAUACCUUCUGACUUUUGGCGCCCAACAUCAAAUUAGACUUUUGGCGCCCAAAAGCAAUAAAAUCAAUAUAGGUUCUGACGCCAAAAACCAAGGAAAGGAAUACCUGAAUACGCACAUACAAGACACACACCAUUACUCCGUUACUCCACAUCCAACAACCUUCAUGGCUUGCAAUUGCAGAAGUAAAACAUAGUGUUUGAUCUUGCAAUUGCACCUUCGCAGGCUUUCAAUUGCAGAAGUACAAAUGUAUUGCGAUUGAAAUCAUAAUUCAGUACAAAUUUGAUGUGAAAAAACACCACAACUAACCCUCUGCUAGACCUGUUCCAGCAAAUCAGAUGCAACACAACAGUACGGAUUGAAAAAGCUAAGCACAAUACCCUAUUAUAUUAGACAAGAUCGAAAUUGCAAAUUUAUUUUGAAAGGAACCCUAUCUACUCAGCAUAUCAGAUGCAGAACCUCUAUUCGGCUACCCUAAAUUGCUAAUCAUAACAAAAAAAUUAUUCAGAAACUUAUCUUCUUUCAAAAUUAAUCUCUUGGCCUGCUUACACAUUGUUUGUCCUGCUGCUACAACAGUAGAAAAGCAUAGUGAAUGUAUGAUCUGGCGUUUAAUAAUUUGAAGCUAAAAACUUAGUUAAAGAAGUGCACACAUGUACUAUGUCUUUUUGAAGAAUAAAUUUCAGAAAUGCAAAAGCAGAAGCAGCUGCAAAUUUAGAUACAUAAAACAAAAAAAGGGAACAAAAUGAGUUGGAAAUUAUGCUGCACACGUGGCCCAAUAGUUUAUAAUCAACAUGGACCAAAUUCAAUAUAAAAGGCAUCGCGAUGUAAACAAAUUGCAUACUUGAAGAAAAACAAGUGCAAUUGUGAUUGGCAAAUAUUAUAAUUACAAUAUAUAGUAGAGAUGCUACGAUUAGUUUGGAUGGCAGUGCGAUUUGAACAGCUAUAAAAAUGAAUCUACAGAGACCACUAUAUUGGUAGCUAAAACAAACACCUAUAACACAAGUAAAUGAACUAGUGCAAGCAUUUCGCUAGCAUCAACUCACCAGAGGACCGAAACGAGACCUCACAGCGAAAGGAUGCACUGAUGCAGAUGCCCUUGCCCUUCUGUCUUCACCUAGCAACAACGACCGAUUGGAAGCAAAAUCAGGGCAAAGCAUGGGCAAAAUGAACCACGAGAUCCAGAGCAACCCAGGAAAAACAACAGGGGGAGGGAUUAACUGGAAGGGAGUGAGAAAAACUCUGCCGCUGAGGACGAGAGACACCGGCCUCUGCUGCCUUCUCCCCGAAACAUCAGCCUUGAAAAUCCCUAAAAAUUCAAACAAAAAUCAUCUGGAAGAGAAGUGCAACUGAGCAAACUGACGCAACAAAUUCGGCCGGAGAAACUCAUCGCGCGCAGCGACCAACCUUGGCGCCGACGAGCACAGAUGCAAAAACAAAACAGCCCGCCUCUCCUGUCUUCUCACGAGCGAGCAGAAAUCAGAGCGGCAAAUGGUAUACUAAUUACUGCUUGAAAAUAGAAUGGAACUAAACAGAUUUAAGAUAUCCAAAAUUUCGCCCACUAAAACUAAUUAAAACUGAAUCUAACACAAGAUUCUAAACUGAAAUUUGAACUACUGACUAACCGAUACUACUGUAUUAUUUGAACUACACUGAACCUGCACUGAAACAGUUGACUAAAAUAUAUAAACAAUACAACAAAUAUUAAACUAAAAUUUAUAGCUAAAUGAUCACUGAACCUGCACUGAACUUGAUUGGAAAACACCGAAUAAAGAAAGACUCCAUGCAUAGUUCUUUUCCCAUGCAGUCAGAAUGACAAAGAAUCUGAAACUUAUAACUCAACUUAACUGCAUAUUAAAGUUCUUCACUAAUAUACACACAAAUAAAGUAUGACACAAGCCUUCAAAAUUUAUAGCUAAAAUGCACAUAGACUGAAGAACAAAAAGGCACUUGAAUUUUCAGUUCCAAUAUCUGAUUCUAGCCAAAGUGACAAAUCUGAAGAACACUAUAUCUCUGAAUCUCACUGGAAUAGAGAUAAAAUUACAAUAACCAAAUAGAGUUAGGCAAUUGAGUUGUGCUGCUUAUAAAUUGCACUAUAAUGGAUGUGCACAAAUCAGAAAUGAAAUGAAUUGAGAAAAGAAAUAUUAUCUGUCUCCAUCCUGACCUAGCAAAGUGUGUGUGAAGCUAUAAAUCUGCAAUGAUAAAUGCAAAAAAGAGAAGAAUUAAAGAUUGCGAUGUGCAAUUGCGCUUAGCCCCAAUCUAAGUUGCACUAAUAUAGGUGUGUCAAAAAAAUCAGAGAAAGAAAAGAUAUAUUUGGUUAAUUACACUUGCUUGGAACAAAAAUUGCAGAUCUAGAAAAAUGUGCAAAUGCAGGUAAACAUUGGUGCAAAAAAAUUGAGAUUAAAGAUUGCGAUGUGCAAUUGCGUUUAGCCCCAAUCUGAGUUGCACUAUAUAGGUGGGUCAAAAAAAAAUCAGAGAAAGAAAACAAAGUUUGGUGGAUCACACAUGCUUGGAACAAAAAUUGCAGCUCUAGAAAAUGUGCAAAUACAAAUAAGCUUUGGUGCAAAUAAACUUUGAAUACAACUAUUUGAAACAAAAUUUGCAGCUCUAGAAAAUGUGCAAAUGUCACUGGAGAACCCUGGCCAUUGGAGGAAUGUAUCUAGACCUAGAGAAAAUCAUUGGAGAAGAGGAAGGGGAAGGGAAUGGAGAAGAAACCCGCACGGGACAAAUGCUACUUUCUCCUUUCGUCCAGCUAACAAAAAAGGACGGGACAAAACAAGCCAGCUGGCACCAGGCCACAAAGACAGGCACGCGGAGACAUCAAAAUUACAGAACACCUGUGACCAAAUAUCCAAGCAACAUAGAACGGUGCACAUAAAUACAAAAAUAGUCAAUAAAAUUCAGAUAAUACCUUCUUGUUUCAAAUGAAACUUGAUAUGUUCUUACUCCUAAGUUGGUUAGCUGCUGGAACAACAAAACAAAGACAAAAAAAACUUUGCCAUCCCUUACUGAUUGUGAUCUCAAAUUUAAACAUAAAAAGGUGCAUACUGGUGCUGCCUCCUUUGAUAUUAAGAGUGCAGCAAUUGCAAAUGAUAGUUACUCCAGUGUAAUUGCAACUAGAAACUAACAGAAAGGUAGCAAAAGAACUUUAAUUAUCAAUUGCAAACUUGUAGGCUUGGGAUUGCAGAAGAUAAGGUGCGUAAUUAGAAUUCCAAGUAUGUCUCAGAAAAGAUGGUCCCUGUUCCAAAUUGAGUUCGGCAAUCGGGAAUUUACAAAAAAAAAAAACUAAAAGUGUUAUGUCUAGUCGAAAUCCAGUUUUGCAAAUUACAAACAGAGAAUGCAUAGUCCCAGUGUUUAGAAAGUUUAGAAAGAAUGAUAAUUGGCAACUUAAACUAAAUGAAAAUAACACAGAUUCAAAUAAACCCGAAUUAAUUGUUUGGGAUUGCAAUGUUUAUCAAAUGCAAUUGGGUUUGAUAAGACAGCAAACUGCACAAAAAUAGAGGUACAUAUAUGUGAAAAUUCAAGGUGAAACGGGUGCAAUUGCAUUUUAAAAAUAUGCUGAAAUACACAUAUAAAGGUACAUGCAAAUUCAACAUAAAUUCACAGUGUAUGAAGCAAAAUCAAGUAUGUAACAGGUGCGAUUCCGUUUGUCUGUGCGUGUGACAAGACCCUAGAUUGCAUAUAUUAAUCUACAUGCAAUUCGGUAAAAAAAGAACAAAACAACGAAAAAAGGACACGACAAGACCCCUGGUUCACGUUCUGUUCGGUAAAUUAAAUCCCCCCUUGCAGGAACCUGCUUCUCUGCCUGGAGAUUACUCGUACAUAAAAAAAGUGGAUUAAUUAAGACUUGACUUGAGAGUCUUAUAGAAGCAGGAGGCUGCAUAUCCGAGUAUGACAAGAGCUGCAAAAAAUCAGAAGGUUGCGAAGGGGCACAAUACAGAGGGCCAGAAAUUCCAAUGACCUUGAUAAUAAAAAUAGCAUUCCUAUAUGCAUCAGAGAGUAGACAGAGCAGGGAAAAAGUAUAGGUACCUCUUCAAAUGAUCAUUCGAAUUAGUGUCUGGAUUAACAAGGCAUUAUGAUCUCAGAUACACUGUAUGACAGAACUGCAGAAAAUGGCGUCAGGGGACACAUCAUAAAAGAUGAACAAAUCGAACAAAACAUCACACACAGCGUGAGGAUAGGCAAAAUCCCUGAGCAAGCAACAACUCUCCAUCCGAGAGACCACAACCAACAUGCAAAAAUAACUCCAGUUGAAGGCUAAUUUCAGACUCAGCCAAUCCAAAAAUCACUACAGCAGUAAGGAUUUUGUUGUGUUGAACAUGCAAAACACUAGGUUGUCUGCAUGGUAGGGGGGCUACAACUAAUGUUUCUUACAACUAACAUUGCAAAACAGUGCUUAUGGCAUCAGGGGACAAAAUGAAAGCAUCAAUAAAACCAAAUCAUCAUCAUACAGAUCGCAUAUCCGUGCCCUCAACAUAUACAACAUAAGCUAAGAAAAAACAGCAUCUCCCUGUGAAAUUGCAGGCUAUUUCGUACUAAAUCAACCAAAAAUCACUACAGCACGCGUGUCUGGCUCCUCCAGCCAAAUCCGGGAGAAAUAGAACCGAGAAACUAACAUCUACCAGAGAGCAAAACCAAAUCCACGGACAAGGAUGCACACUUCUGUUCCUCUCUUCGCCUAUAAAAAUUGAACAAAAAGCAUCAGCCAACAAAUCACCACCCAAUCACCACAGCUAUGGGGCUGCGGCAAAAAUCAGCACCAAAAGGGGUAUCAGCAACCACCAGCGCGCAAGCAUGAAACGCCGACGAGCAAAAAUACCGCCCAAACAAGCCGACGAGAGAAUCACACCACGUCUACCCCUAACUGCAAUCGACUGCAGUACGCAACCCCCUCACACAAAAAUGGCCGUCCGGAAAACCCAAGCAGCAAGAGCACGAGGCGCAAUAGGCUGACCAAAAGCUCCCCGCGCGGACAGGCCAAAUCUCGCCUCCGACGAGACCAGAUCGAACCCCAACACGCCCAUUUCACUGCUCCAGUUCGCAAAAAAGCAACAGGACGCAUGGAUGCGGCUAAACAGAGGCGGAGCAGCUCGGAUAGAGAGGGCAGAGAUGAAGUUAGAGCUCACCCCGGCGGCAGCGGCGCGAGCGAACCAUCAGCCGGCGACGAGGAAGACGAAAUCGCCUCCAGCCCCCUCCCCCACCUUUUCUCCCUCGAGGAACCGGACAGCAGGUCGGAGCCUGGGAGAGAAAGAACGAAAAGAAAAGAGAAGACCAGAAACACGGAUCGCAAAGCAAUCGAACGGCCAGCGUCAUCGCCUGCUUUCAAACCAAAAAACAGUCGCC